UUGAAUCGUUUUCCUUUUCUCUUCUCUAAUGGGUGGCUGAUGGCCUGAUACUUUGAUGGAUUGAUGCGUGCUUGAACUGGCUGAUAUGCGCCUCUGUGUAUGCAAAUUUUUCAAUUUAGAUUUUUGUAGAGACUGGUUCGGCUUGUAAUAGCAGAUGUAUGUUGGUAUGUAUUGAAAGCCUUUUCUAAUCCGUUCAUUGUAAUGCUUAAGCCUAAUACGAUAGUACUACUUGACCACUAAUUAAGCAUUUGCUUUGUCUAGCCUGGUGCAAAUUAAAUAAAUUGUACUGCCAUUCAUUAGUUUACUACUCAGUCCGGCGUGAACGUAGUAGUAAAGGUUGGUUCUGAGCAUAAUGCACACAAAACUGCCCUAUGUGUUCCUUCUCUAUUUUACAAUUCUGGCUAGAUAUAUUUGUCACUAACAUCUGGAAUAUUGUGUAUCCUCUUGCAUCAUUAUUGGUGUAGCUUUUAUAUUUCAUUGACGAGUUUAAGCCUGCUUAGUGAAGAUUAUGUAAAUGAUAGACUGUUCCCACAAGAUUAUUUUAAUAUCACAGUUAUAUCGCAUGCUUCAUUGUACAAGAUCCUUUUUUCACAUUUAAUUUUGUUACUGGCCGCUAGAAACAUGGGAUCUAUCAAGCAAGAAAAGGUGGAGAUGAGGAGGUUGUGGAUGAAGAUGCUCCUGUAGAGUGAAGAGUAUGAAGCAGAAGAUGCGGCCCAGGUUUAAUGAGGCAAUGGGGGAAGAGGUUGUGGCUGGGGUCAGUACCAUGGCUAGAGUCCGGACAUCGGCCAUCCAAUCAGCACCCCCCCAUCGACUCACAUUGAUAAGCAUCCAGUAGUGUCAAAGCCGCCUCCUGGUCUGCUUAUGCCGGAUGACACAAAAGGAUUUUCCAUGGGGCAAGGGAAACUCCAGGUUAUCCAGGGUAAAUGACUAGAUUACGUUUCAGGAUUACAACUCACAAAUGAGCUUGGAUGCCUUCAUCUUACAACCAGAAACUCUUGUUUUAUGAUCAUGCACACAUUGAAUGCAAAGUAAAGUUUUUUUACCAUCGACGUUAAGAUUCUUAAUAUGGAACCAUGACCAUUUUUUGUAAUAUAUGACUGAGCAUUAAUGGUACAAUCUUCUUUGCUCAAGUAAUUCAAGGUAUGUUUCAUUGCUCAUUUAGGAUGGCCACUGAACCUCUUUAUGAACCAAGGAAGACACAUUCUCUAUGCACAAAGAACUUAGUGCUACUAUUUGUUUGUGCUAUUUCAAUUGAAAACAUUGACGCUCCGUGACAUGCCACAAUUCGAUCUUUUGUGCUUGUAU